UACGGAGGGGGCGAGCGUUAUUCGGAAUUAUUGGGCGUAAAGGGCGCGUAGGCGGCUGAACAAGUCAAAGGUGAAAUCCCUCGGCUCAACUGAGGAACUGCCUUUGAAACUGUUCGGCUUGAGGCCGGGAGGGGGUAGCGGAAUUCCCAGUGUAGCGGUGAAAUGCGUAGAUAUUGGGAGGAACACCAGUGGCGAAGGCGGCCACCUGGACCGGUUCUGACGCUGAGGCGCGAAAGCGUGGGGAGCGAACAGG
rnacentral:rRNA from 1 species